UCUGUAUAAAAAUGAAACUUGAACUUACAUUUGUAUUGUCUGUUGUUUGGAGUGGUUUGAGGACAGGUGUAUCACAAGUUAAUAAACAUACAGUAUUCUGAUGAAAUAUCUGAUAUCGAUCGUUCUAUUGUUAAGUAUAUACUUUGUGAUGUCUGCAGAUAGAGAAUCUAGUUGUAAUUGCUUUGAAGAAUUUCGACCGAAACUGGAAAACGGUCACUGGUUAUGCCGAGGUAUCAAAAAUUUCAGAAUAUUCAGUUGUGGUGAAGAAAAACCUCCCCUCUGUCAAUGUUUUUCCAAAGGAAAAAAAAUUGUCUUGGAUCUUGGCGAAACAUCAUGUACCGACUCUGCAAACCAAUAUGACAGUAUAUUUUGCGCACCUUCUAGCGACUGGGACGCAUAUUUUGACCGACAUCCUGCGAAAAGAAUUUAUUUUUAGUUCAAUUUCGGUUUUCAGAUUAUUCAUAAAUUAUAUCUUAUUGAAUA